rnacentral:rRNA from 1 species
UGGGGGAUAUUGCACAAUGGGCGAAAGCCUGAUGCAGCGACGCCGCGUGGGGGAUGAAGGCUUUCGGGUUGUAAACCUCUUUCGCUAUCGAACAAGGCCCGCUUAGGGUGGGUUGAGGGUAGGUGGAGAAGAAGCGCCGGCUAACUACGUGCCAGCAGCCGCGGUAAUACGUAGGGCGCGAGCGUUGUCCGGAAUUAUUGGGCGUAAAGGGGUUGUAGGGGGUCUGGUGCGCCGGGUGUGAAAAGGCGGGGCUUAACUUCGCGCGUGCAGUGGGUACGGGCAGGCUUGAGUGUGGUAGGGGUGACUGGAAUUCCAGGUGUAGCGGUGGAAUGCGCAGAUAUCUGGAGGAACACCGAUGGCGAAGGCAGGUCACUGGGCCAUUACUGACGCUGAGGAGCGAAAGCAUGGGUAGCGAACAGG